AGUGAACGCUGGCGGUAGGCCUAACACAUGCAAGUCGAACGGCAGCACAGUAAGAGCUUGCUCUUACGGGUGGCGAGUGGCGGACGGGUGAGGAAUACAUCGGAAUCUACUUUUUCGUGGGGGAUAACGUAGGGAAACUUACGCUAAUACCGCAUACGACCUACGGGUGAAAGCAGGGGAUCUUCGGACCUUGCGCGAUUGAAUGAGCCGAUGUCGGAUUAGCUAGUUGGCGGGGUAAAGGCCCACCAAGGCGACGAUCCGUAGCUGGUCUGAGAGGAUGAACAGCCACACUGGAACUGAGACACGGUCCAGACUCCUACGGGAGGCAGCAGUGGGGAAUAUUGGACAAUGGGCGCAAGCCUGAUCCAGCCAUACCGCGUGGGUGAAGAAGGCCCUCGGGUUGUAAAGCCCUUUUGUUGGGAAAGAAAAGCAGCAGGUUAAUACCCCGCUGUUCUGACGGUACCCAAAGAAUAAGCACCGGCUAACUUCGUG
rnacentral:rRNA from 1 species